AACGAACGCUGGCGGCAUGCCUAACACAUGCGAGUCGAACGAGACCUUCGGGUCUAGUGGCGCACGGGUGCGUAACGCGUGGGAACCUGCCCUUAGGUUCGGAAUAACUCCCCGAAAGGGGUGCUAAUACCGGAUAAUGUCUUCGGACCAAAGAUUUAUCGCCUUUGGAUGGGCCCGCGUUGGAUUAGCUAGUUGGUAGGGUAAAAGCCUACCAAGGCGACGAUCCAUAGCUGGUCUGAGAGAAUGAUCAGCCACACUGGGACUGAGACACGGCCCAGACUCCUACGCGAGGGAGCAGUGGGGAAUAUUGGACAAUGGGCGAAAGCCUGAUCCAGCAAUGCCGCGUGAGUGAUGAAGGCCGUAGGGUUGUAAAGCGCUUUUACCCGGGAUGAUAAUGACAGUACCGGGAGAAUAAGCUCCGGCUAACUCCGUG
rnacentral:rRNA from 1 species